UACGAGUGCCCCAAGCGUUGUCCGGAAUUAUUGGGCGUAAAGGGUGUGUAGGCGGUCAUAUUAGUCUUUCGUUAAAGCCCGGGGCCUAACCUCGGAAUCGCGGGAGAAACGGUAUGACUCGAGGGCGCAAGAGGUCUACGGAACUCACGGUGUAGGGGUGAAAUCCGUUGAUAUCGUGGGGAACACCAAAAGCGAAGGCAGUAGACUGGUGCGUUCCUGACGCUGAAACACGAAAGCCAGGGUAGCGAAUGGG
rnacentral:misc_RNA from 1 species